rnacentral:rRNA from 1 species
AGUGAACGCUGGCGGUAGGCCUAACACAUGCAAGUCGAACGGCAGCACAGUAAGAGCUUGCUCUUACGGGUGGCGAGUGGCGGACGGGUGAGGAAUACAUCGGAAUCUACUUUUUCGUGGGGGAUAACGUAGGGAAACUUACGCUAAUACCGCAUACGACCUACGGGUGAAGGCAGGGGAUCUUCGGACCUUGCGCGAUUGAAUGAGCCGAUGUCGGAUUAGCUAGUUUGCGGGGUAAAGGCCCACCAAGGCGACGAUCCGUAGCUGGUCUGAGAGGAUGAUCCGCCACACUGGAACUUAGACACGGUCCAGACUCCUACGGGAGGCAGCAGUGGGGAAUAUUGGACAAUGGGCGCAAGCCUGAUCCAGCCAUACCGCGUGGGUGAAGAAGGCCUUCGGGUUGUAAAGCCCUUUUGUUGGGAAAGAAAAGCAGCAGGUUAAUACCCCGCUGUUCUGACGGUACCCAAAGAAUAAGCACCGGCUAACUUCGUG